rnacentral:lncRNA from 1 species
CGUGAGACCACCAAGUUCACUGCUUCAAGCAGCUUAGAGUCCAGAGGGCAUGGACACAUGCCGGAGCCAGGUAGUUUCAGGGAGACAGUAAGGGCUGUAAAGAGACCCGGGAAAUGAUAGAGAGUAAGGAGUGGGGUGGGGGUGGAGGGUCCUUCAAGGAGGACGUCAUGUUUGAGUCGACUUCUGCAGGACAAGAAGAGCCACCAGAAAGAAGGCUAGGCAUUAAGGAACAGCAAGUGCAAAGUUCCUGAGGGAACAAGCGUGAGUUCUUGGAGGAAAUGAAAAGAGCCCUCAUUGUCGGGGAGAGGGUGGUUCGGCUGCCCUUCUUGGAGGAGGGGAGAAAGGGGUGGUGCUGCUGUGAUGAGGUCGGGGAGGAGCCCAGUUCUCUGGGACUUUUAGGCCCUGGGGAAGGGUUUUGGUUUCAUUCUAAGUGUGAGGGGGAGAUUCUGGUUGAGGAGUGAAAUGAUCUGAUUUGCAGUUUUUGAAAGUCCUGGGCUGUCCCUUAGAGAACGGGCUCCAGGGGUCAAAGGUGGAAGCUGGGGGCUGGGCACGGUGGCUCACACCUAUAAUCCCAGCACUUUGGGAGGCUGAGGCAAGUGGAUCGCCUGAGGUCAGGAGUUCAAGACCAGCCUGGCCAAUAUGGUGAAACCCCGUCUCUACUAAAAAUACAAAAAUUAGCUGGGCUUGGUGGCGCACACCUGGAAUCCCAGCUACUUGGGAGGCUGAGGUGAGAGAAUCACUUGAACCCAGGAAGCAGAGGCUGCAGUGAGCCAAGAUCGCACCACUGCACUCCAGCCUGGGCGACAGAGCGAGACUCCAUGUAAAUAACAACAAUAAUAAAAGAGUGGAAGCUGGGGACUCAGGAGAAGGUGGCUGGAGUGUCUGUGGCAGAAGGGAUGGAGGCUGUGAUCUGUGAUCAGCUUGGAGGCUGCAGAGCCGACCAGUGGGUGGUUGGAGUUUAGAAGAAUCAAAAGGGCUUGCGGAUAUUGGGGGGAAUUUGUUCACUCAAGAAAGGUUGGCUGAGCGCAUUGACUCACACCUGUAAUCCCAACACUUUGGGAGGCUGAGGCAGGCAGUUUGGUUGAGCCCAGGAGUUUGAGACCAGCCUGGGCAACAUGGUGAGACCUCAUCUCUACAAAAAAUGCAAAAAUUAGCCAGGUAUGGUGGUGCAUGUGUGCCUGUAGUCCCAACUACUCAGGAGGCUGAGAUGGGAGGAUUGCUUGAGCUCGUGAAGUUGAGGUUCCAGUGAGCUAUGAUUGCACCACUGCACACUAUAGCCUGGGUGACAGAGGGAGACCCUGUCUCCAAAAAAAGAAAAAAAAAAUAGAGAAAGAGUCCAAGGAGGUGCACAGGCUCUGGUCCUCAAGGUUGGGAAGGCGAGGAUGGGGACAGCAGGUGAUGGGGGCAUGGAAUCGAGUGCGUGGAAUCAAGUGCCACUUGUGUUGAGAUGCCCACUAGGUGGCCUGGUGGAGAGGGUUAGCUACCCAGGUCAGGCUCAGGGCAGUGGUUGGGGCCGACGCAGCAGAUAAAGGAGGGUGUUCAGGAGACCAGAUGUGAGCCCCAGAGCAAGAAGUGGGCCAAAAAUAGAACCUGGGCAGAGGGAACUGUUCCUACCUCAUUGGGCUGGGCAAGAAUCAAUGGAGAGUCAUGGAAAGCACUCAGCCCAGUGCCAGGCAAGGAGUGGACACCCAUGACUGUCGCCUGGUGUUCCGCUAUACUGCUGAGGAGCUGGACCCAAGAUCCAGAGAGGGCCAGCAGCUGACCCAGGGUCACACAGCUGGACGAGGGUCUGAACCCAGUUUGUUUUUGUUUUUUGAGAUGCAGUCUCGCUCUGUCACCCAGGCUGGAGUGCAGUGGCAUGAUCUUGGCUCAUAGCAACCUCUGCCUCCCAGGUUCAAGUGAUUCUCCUGCCUCAGUCUCCCAAUUAGCUGGGACUACAGGCACACCCCAUCAUGCCUGGCUAAUUUUUUUUGUAUUUUUAGUAGAGACGGGGUUUCACCAUGUUGGCCAGGCUGGUCUUGAAGUCCCGACCUCAAGUGAUCCAGCCACCUCAGCCUCCCAAAGUGCUGGGAUUACAGGUGUGAGCCACCAUGCCUGGCCUGAAUCCAGGUCUUAAUCCUCAGAGUUCAUGCCUUUUUUCCUUUCCUUUCCUUUCCUUUUUUUCUUUUCUUUCUCUCUCCUUCCUUCCUUCCUUCCUUCCUUCCUUCCUUCCCCUUCCUUCCUUCCUUCCUUUUUUUUUUUUCAGGAUCUCACUCUGUUGCUCAAGCUGUAGUGCAGUGGAUCAUAGAAUCAUAGCUUACUGCAGCCUCAAACUCUAAAAUUCCUGGGCUCAAUUGAUCCCCCUGCCUCGGCCUCCUGAGUAGCUGAGACUACAGGUGCCACCACCACAUCCAGCUAAUUUUCUUAUUUUUUGUAGAGACAGAGUCUCACUACGUUGCCCAGGCUGUUCUCCAACACUGGGCUAGUGAUCUUCCUGCCUUGGCCUCCCAAAGUGCUGGGAUUACAGGUGUGAGCUGCAAGGCUAGGUCCUCGGGCUCCUCAGGCCCUGGGCCCCCUCCCAGGAAUGAGUCCCGCCGCUCCAGCACAAAGGGGAAGAAGCCCUCGUCGCCGCUGGGAGAGGCGCCCCCUGAGAGCGGCCCGGACGGGAAGCUGGGCCCAUCUGGAGAGCUCAUGUCACCUGCAGCAUCUGCGGGGACAGGUGGCUGCGGGACACUCUACUCUGCAGCCUGACAGGGGCUCACCCUCCGCCCAGCACCUGGCCCUCCAGGAAUUCUCCACCUGCUGCCAGCCUGCCCGGUCCUGCAGCCAGGGCUUCCUGGGCCACAAAGGGUUAAUGACCUGUGUUUUGGCUACCCAGUUCCGUUAAUGUCCCUGGGGUAAACUGAGGCAGGAAGCAGAAGGAAAUGACCUGCCCAGCCUUUGGCCUCUGCCAGACAAUCUCUGUCCCCAGGAAAGCUCAUUCCAGUGCUCCAGGGCCACAGGCCACCUCUGCUCCCUGUCCCCUCUCUUCCCAGAACCCAGCAGUUUGGCUUGUAGCCCCUCGCCAUCUGAGACAGUUCCCAGAACCCAGGUUCUCAGGGACUCAGCAGUUGGAGUUGGGCCCAGCCUCUUCUCUCAGGAAUGCAGGACCCUAAGGCUUGGGAACUGAGGUAUCUUCGCCCCCAGGAAUCCAGCUCCUUCCCCUGCCAGAAGCCCAGAUCCCAGCCCCUGACCUCCCGGGUCUCUCGCCCUCAUUCUCCUGCUACCUCCUGAGCAGGUGCUUUGACUCCACCCUCCAGACUCAGAGGUCCCCACCUCCAAUGUCCCCCACCAAGGAUUCCCACCCCAGUCCCCAUUUUCCACGGGACUCAGGCAUUCAUGCCCCCACCCCUCCGGACUCAGGAGCCCUGACCCUCAGCCCCCCAGUUUCCCAGGGCCCUGGCGUGGGGCCCAGGACAGGGCGAGGUAACAGGUUGUGCCGGCCGCCCGGCCGCAGCGCGGCUCGGAGUUUCUGUUUACUUCCCGGUCCGCCCCUGGGGACGGGAGCCCUGGGCUCCCCUAGGGCGGCUCAGGGGCUGGGGUUCAGGGGCUCGGGUCAGAGGGCCCGACACAACAGCUUUACCAGCCCCAGCCCUCCGGGGGCUCACCACCCACUAGGCACACACACCCGUGCUCUCCCUCCUCCUCUCGCCCGGUGUCCAUGUGCAGCCCUGCUCGCAGGACGCUGGAGUGCAGUGGCACCAUCACUGCAGUCUCGUCCUCCCAGGCUCAAGCGAUCCUCCCACCACAGCCUCCCCCGUAGCUGGGACUGCAGGCUGGAGUACAGUGGUGCCAUCUCAGCUCACAGCAGCCUCCGCUCCCGGGUUCAAGUGAUUCU